GCCAGCAGCCAUAUCACCCUGCAACUCACAGCUGGCAGCCCACUGGAGCUCAGCAGGUGUGAGCCUGGCCAGUACCUGGAUGGGAGACUCCUGGGAAAAACUAAGGUUGCUGCUAGAA
rnacentral:rRNA from 1 species